CAGAUUCAUAUCGCAACGAAGUACAAAACUUUGAAGCAGAUAUCAGUGAAUGUGAGAUGCAGUUAACGUAACAAACAACCAUGAUCUGAUCAAUAUUGCUAUUAUCUUGGUUGACUAAUAGACUCUACAGUAUGUUACUUCCCAGUCAGCAUCACGGUCUAAAUCUGAUAAGAACAUGUUGGUUUAUCUCUCUUCUAUGGAUUGCCCUUAACUUCUGUGCUGUUCUGGGCCAUAUAUAUGAACUGCUCAAUGGAAAAUCGAAAG